rnacentral:rRNA from 1 species
CGCGUAGGCGGACGAGCAAGUCCGGAGUGAAAUCCUUCGGCUUAACCGGAGAAGUGCUUUGGAUACUGCUCGUCUUGAGGGAGGUAGGGGCAUGUGGAACUUCUGGUGGAGCGGUGAAAUGCGUUGAUAUCAGAAGGAACGCCGGUGGCGAAAGCGACGUGCUGGCCCUCUUCUGACGCUGAGGCGCGAAAGCUAGGGAGCAAACG